GCCUUGAUUUAUAGUGCAUUAGCUUGGUUGGUAGAGCAUGAGACUUUUCAUCUCAGAGUCAUGGGUCCAAGCCCCACACUGGGUA